rnacentral:tRNA from 1 species
GGGGGCGUGGUGGAACUGGCAGACACGCUUGACUUAGGAUCAAGUACUUCACGGUGUGCAGGUUCGAGUCCUGUCGCCCCCACCA